UCUUCCAUUUCUGAAGCUCCUCCUGCAUCUUAUCGAUUUUGGCUGGAUUCAGAGCCCACAAACAGCCUUUCCGAGAAGAAUUGCCUGACUUGUUUUCAACUUUCUCAAAGCAUUUGUUCAAAGAUAAGUUGUGACGUACAGAAUUCUUCCAGCCGUCCGGAGCUGUCUGGAAAAACAAAUCCAGUCUAAGAAUGGAACUUCAAGGAAAAAAUACAAAUAUAUUUCUCUAUUUUGACUGGUUAGAGUAUACUUUCUACAAAAUGAAACUGGUACCAUAGAAGGAAGCCACAAAAAUGUUACAGUCGUGUGGUGUGGGAAGAGGAAUCAGAUAACAUAGUAACUGAUCUUCUAAGCAAAAGGUUGGCCUUGUCAGAGGGGCUACUGUAUGUUUGAAUUUGCAAAUUACAAGAAUUAAAUGUGUUAAAGAAUUAUAUUCCAGAACUGUGAACUAACAGGAAAUCUUUUAAUCCCUUUUAGCACACCUAGAAAUAUUUCAAACACUUAGUUGAAGGGCUGCGUGCCACUUGGAUUCAAAUGAGUUGUCCAGGCAGACUUCAAAAGCAUUUUGGCAUGCUGCUGGAGGUGUAGCCAAUUACAUAACCACAUGGUUUAAGCAAAAGCCCAGUGGAUGAGAUACAGAAAAUCCUCAGCUGUGUGUCAUAAGAGCUAAAAAAAAAAAAUCAAACAGCUCUCUGAAAGUGUAUGCAAGUGAUGAAGUUGCCCAAGACUGAUAUUCCAGGCCCAGAACAGAGCCAGAUAACCUUGAGCCUCUGCUUCCACAUGAGUCUGGAGGUGCUACUGGUGGCAAAGGAAGCCACAAGACCAGUUCUGCCUGUAUUUGAGAUCAGAGAGGAGGGAAUGGAUAUGUUUUUAAAAGUAUUUAUCCUUUUGGUGAGUUGUUGGUGAGGAACAGCCACUGUUAUCUGCACAAACUCAAAGUCAGAACAGUUCUUAAUAUCUUUCUGUGUUAAAUAUUGCCACAUAUCAUGUUCAUGUUUCUGCCUAGGCCUUAGAUGCUGGGUGGUUUGUGAUCAUGAAGGUAUAUAGUGUGUAAUUGAUUUGAUAUUAAUCUACCUAAGAAAUGAUCCCUUUUCAUAGAUCGAGUUCCCCUCUUUAUUCCCUCUGCUGCCAGGUAAGCUGAGAGAGAGACUUCCCCCCCAUCCCCUUGGCACUCACCUUAAAGUAAGGGAAGUGUUCCGUCAUGAAAUUGUAAAUCUCACUGACUGGCAAACUCCCUGUCUUGCUGUUUUUGAGUGCCAUGAAGAUCAGGAUGCUUCAGAGAGAGAAAGAAAAAAAAUUUAGCUUAUUCUGCUCCUCAGAAGCAGAAAAUGAGUGUUUUUUCAAUGUAUGUAAUUACUGUGACUUGCACUGCCUGAGCAUGAACACUGAUGAUACUCAAAGUUUCCACCCAGUUGUUUACAAUCGGUCUCCUUACACUGCUUAACUUCUGGAGGUAAUUCUGAAAGCACACAUAGAAGGUCCAGCCAGGGCUUAAAAUAAAGUAAUACAAACUGGAAUCAAGUCCACAGCCUUCAAAUUCUACUAAUGUGUUUUUAUUUAAGGCUGUGUUUGAAUGAUAAAGGCCCCAAGAAGAGUGUCAAAAUGACAGUGAAAGAAGGUACAAUUAAAAUGCAAUUGUCUGGUCUACUGUGUUAAGCUGCUCUCUGGGGGCUAAACCUGUGUGGUGACUGGCAUAUCUGAUAUGGUUUUUAGGCAUUUCUUUGCCAUAAUAACUGGAGAAAAAACAUCAGAUUUAAUACAGGUCCUGGAGAAGACAACUACAGGUAAUUAGUCUUGUGCUGAUGAAAUUUGCAGCACCUAAGGUUUUAUACUGGAGAAACAUCUAGCUGUUGUGGGGUGAUCAAAACUGUUCACAAGCUUUACAACAUUGCAUUUCCCUCUGCCUUGGCCCCUGAGUCUGGAACAUGUUGUGAUUCAUACAAACAGGACAGAGCACACUGGGAGCAAGACAAAUAAGAAUAAGCAUGUUGUUGCAAAUGAUGCUGGAAAUAGGCCAUGGGUAAACAGUGUAUUUCCUGUAACAUUAGAACCUGAGAAAGUAUGUUAUUACCUGUAGGAGUAGAUGGGUUUGGGAAACAGAGGCUGCUGGGAUUCUUGACUGCUUUGAGGAGCGAUUCGUUGGUAGGGGUAGUGCGAAGAAGUAAUGUAAGUCACAGGAUAGCUGCCUCCCGAGGAAUACUGGUGGUAGAAUAAAAGAAAUGUUACUUGACCUCUCAACAAGCUUUCAAAAAUACUUAUUUCUUAAUAACAUUAUUAAGCUAGCUCUGAGGAUGUUGCUUUCUGCCUAUGUUUCAUACCUGUUUUGCCAACCCAGAUGUAGUCUUUCUAGCAUGGUAUGGAAGACAUUAAUAUUACUUGUUAAUACCCAAAAAGUAGAAGAAACAGGGCAUGGAUGAGGAGGAGCUCACUGAUACGUUGACUGUUACCAGAUGCUGUUUAGUGUGUUCCAAAUUGAAGGAUGUAAAAAAAGUACUUUCUUAUUGCCUGUUAUGCUACUGAGUUCUUGUGAAAAAUGGGACUAACUGAACCCUAGUAAUUGUCUCCAGAAAAUUCAUAACAGCAUCCCAAAGCAUCUGUUCAAAUUGCUGUUACCAGGUGAAGAAGUAAAAAACCCCAAAACAACAACCACCAAAGCUGUAGUGGAUGUGUAUACAAAGUGGGUAUGCUAUUCUAGAAUAAGUUAGUAGUGUCAUUCCAAGGGACAGACAAGUGGCAUAUGAGGUGUUUCUCAGAGGUGGUUUUCAUAUUGCCUACCUUGCGAGGCUGUGAGGCUACUGUCAUAGUCAGUGGCAAGAAACAGGCUUCUGGA